GUGGAGGAAGGACGACAUGAUCUGUGUGAACAGUUCCAGCUCAAAAAUGUGCAAACCUGCAGCAUUUAAAUAUGAGCCUGUAAGGCCACCUUAAUAAUGUAUCUGGAAUGUGACCGGACUUCAUCGACUCUAAUGCAAAUGCCACUUGCAUUAAUCUAAACUCUUCCUCGGUGAAGGAAUUUGAAUCCUGAUCAGCUACAGCAGGUUAUGGCUUGGUCAUGGUGUACUGGAGUUUGGAUCUCUUCAAGGCAAGAACAGGUCUCGCUGCACUAUAUGGCAAAAGUGUUGGGACAUGCCUCUUGGUCAUUGAAUCCAGGUGUUUCAUUCGGUCCUGUUGCUACAGAUGUAUAACAUCAAGCAUGUAGCCUUUACAAACAUUUGUGAACGGAUAUGGUGUACAGGGCCAGCUGUAGCCUAGUGGUUAAGGUACUGGACCAGUGAUCAGAGGGUCGCUGGUUUAAGCCCUUACCACUGCCAGGUUGCUGCUGUUGGGCCCUUGAGCAAGGCCCUUAACUCUCAAUUGCGCAGACUAACUGAACUAAGUCGCUAUGGCUAAAGGCAUCUGCUAAAUGCUGAAAAUGUAAAUGAAGUGCUGACUGGCCUUCCUGUAGCCCAUAAGUCUCCUAUUAAAACUAUCAUGAGAAUCUUACUUUGGCAAUCGAGGUCUUGUAUGAGCAAAGAAAACUUGCGAAACUAACUGGUAUUAAUUCCCAAACCAUUUAAAAUGUGACCCAGUGGUAAACAUGCUUCUGCCUCAGAUGAAGUGUUGCAUGCAUCAAGUUCUACAUUUAACAAAUGGAAUUAAGUUCGUCAUUGAAUCUGUCGAAUAAAGGUUCUGGUGAAAAGA